GGAGGAAGGUGGGGAUGACGUCAAGUCAUCAUGGCCCUUACGACCAGGGCUACACACGUGCUACAAUGGCGCAUACAAAGAGAAGCGACCUCGCGAGAGCAAGCGGACCUCAUAAAGUGCGUCGUAGUCCGGAUUGGAGUCUGCAACUCGACUCCAUGAAGUCGGAAUCGCUAGUAAUCGUGGAUCAGAAUGCCACGGUGAAUACGUUCCCGGGCCUUGUACACACCGCCCGUCACACCAUGGGAGUGGGUUGCAAAAGAAGUAGGUAGCUUAACCUUCGGGAGGGCGCUUACCACUUUGUGAUUCAUGACUGGGGUGAAGUCGUAACAAGGUAACCG
rnacentral:rRNA from 1 species